UCUCCGUUGGUGAACCAGCGGAGGGAUCAUUACAGGAUCGAAAGACUCCUAUAACCCCUGUGAACUUACUACAAAUACGUUGCUUCGGCGGGUGCCCCGGGUCUCCCGGGGCGUUCAGCCCGCCGGCAGCCUUCAAAUUCUGUUUCUUUGCGUUGGCAUCUCGAGUAUACAAAAAUAAGUUAAAACUUUCAACAACGGAUCUCUUGGCUCUC
rnacentral:misc_RNA from 1 species